CAGCCAGCCCGGGCCCCUCUGGCAGCCACUCCAGGCUGCGAUGUCGGACUGGCGGA
rfam:Aurantimonas sp. Leaf443 contig_2, whole genome shotgun sequence.